UCGUUUACGUCGAUUGAAGGUGAUUGAUCUGGGAUACAAUAAUUUCAGUGGAGAGAUUCCAAUGUGGUUCGGUUUCUUUUCUGAGCUUCAAAUCUUAAUUCUUGAUAACAACGGUUUCACUGCUAUACCUCCUGCUUCUAUUUCUAACCUGUCCAAGUUAGAAACUCUCAGUGUCAGUAAUAAUCAUCUUCAAGGCAGUUUUCCCAAAGAUAUUGGCAAUCUUCAGAGUUUAAAGGAGCUGGUUUUAGUCAGUAACCAACUUACUGGAUCUAUUCCAUACUCCAUUUUCAACAUCUCCUCGUUGGAGACUUUAGCUCUCACAUAUAAUCAAUUAUCAGGGAGUCUUCCUGCAGAUAUAUGCCGCGGUCUGCAAAAAAUAAAGAGCAUUUCAAUAAUUUCCAACCAGUUGAGUGGUCACAUUCCAGCUAGUUUGUCUAACUGCACACAACUGUAUGACUUGUCAUUGUCAUACAAUAACUUCAAUGGGAUCAUUCCACCAGAAAUUGUAAACUUGGAGAGGCUUGAGUUCUUAAACCUUGGGGGAAACCACCUGCAAGGUACAUACUUGAUAGGAGUAAUACUUUUCUCAAUUUGUUAGCAUAAACACGUGAUCUAUAGAAAAUUGUGACGUUAAUAUAUAGGAGUAACAUUGCAUUUUAAUUCAACAAGUCAUGUUGCUCUUCCCUCAUAAUAAUAGCCCCAGCCCUGCUCUAUUUACUAUCCUAGGUAGGCGAUUGGACGUACAUGAUGUUUGGUUGGAUGAACCUUCAACCUUUAAAAAUAACUUUGGGGAAAAAUAGAAUUAUUUUCAAAAUAACCAUUAUGGGAACACCUUUUCCAAUACAACAACUAAGGACCCGUUUGACCAUAGAUUUUGCCAAAAUAAAUUUGGGUUUUAUUUGGCAAACACAUGUUUGGCCAUAAAUUUUGCCUACAUUUUGGCAAAAUCUCAAAUUGGUUGCUUUGUGUAAAAAUAAUUUGCAGGCAUAAUUCCAGCAAAGAUUGGUAAUUUACGAAAUUUGCAGCAAUUGCAACUGGAGAACAACGGCAUCGUGGGUUCAAUACCGCGCAGCAUACGGAACAUGACAUCGCUAUGGAUACUUAAUUUCAAGACCAACAAUUUAACAGGUAAGUUUCGAGCAAUGUGUUGUUGUUUGGCCAUCCAGAUAUACUCUUUCUGAAUGGUUUAAUGGAAACAAAAUUAAAUCUUUAUGCUCUCUAUGAUGAUGCAGGUGUUAUACCCGGAGAGAUUGGGAACCUUCACAAGUUGGAGAAACUUUAUUUGCAAUUUAAUGAAUUAAGUGGUUCCAUACCGGAAGAGCUCUUCAAUAUCUCUACGCUAAGAAGGGUAUCACUUUCUACGAAUAAUCUUUCGGGUAGUCUUCCAUUAGCUUUCGGUUACUGGCCAACAAAUCUACAGUUUUUGAAUCUUUUUGGAAAUAACAUUGGUGGAGUAAUACCCAGAGAGAUUGGGAGCCUUCACAAAUUGGAGGGACUUAUUCUUCAACAUAAUAAACUAAGUGGUUCCCUACCCAGAGAGAUUGGGAACCUUCACAAAUUGGAGGUACUUGAUCUUGGAGUUAAUAAACUAAGUGGUUCCAUACCGGAAGAGCUCUUCAAUAUCUCUAAGAUAAGAGAGAUGUCACUUGGAUUUAAUAACAUUUCGGGCAGUCUUCCAUCUGCUUCAAGCUACUGUCAAACAAAUCUACAUUAUCUGAAUCUUGGUGUGAACAACAUAGAUGGAGUUAUACCUAGCUCAAUCUCCAAUUCUUCAAAUCUAAAGGAAUUAUAUCUGAACAACAACAAAUUCAGUGGCCCGAUUCCUAACUCUUUGGGGGAUUUGAGACAGCUUGAACGUUUGACGUUGUUCGAAAACAACUUAUCAUCUCCGCACCUAAGUAUCUUAACUUCUUUGGCGAACUGCAGAUCUUUGAAAGUGUUAGCGAUAUCGGAUAAUCCUCUUAAUGGUGUUCUUCCAGAUUCCAUUGGCAAUCUCUCCAGUUCUCUUGAACUAUUUGGUUUAGGUGAAACUGAAAUUAGGGGACAGAUACCAUUAGGAAUUGGGAAUUUAAGUAACUUAAACACUUUUUCCAUAUCCCGCAAUGACUUGACUGGAUCAGUGCCAAGAUCAAUAUGUGAUUUACAUAAUCUUCAAGGGUUCUAUCUUUACCAUAACAGAUUAAAUGGACCCUUACCAGACUGCCUUUGCAAAUUGCCGGAGUUAGGCUUGGUUGAUUUGUCUUAUAAUCAAAUAUCGGGUCCAAUACCAUAUUGCAUUGGCGAUACUACCUCUUUGAGAAAUAUUUACCUAAAUUCAAAUAGGCUCACUAACAUACCCAUGAGUUUAUGGAGCCUCAAAGAUCUUGUUCGGCUGGACUUGUCCAAUAAUUCUUUGGUUGGUUCUUUACCUCCAGAUUUCGGAAAUUUGGAUGCCAUAACAGUAGUAGAUUUGUCGAGGAAUAACCUUUCAGGAAGUAUUCCAACCACGGUCGGAGACUUGCAGAAACUAAUUAAUCUUUCUUUGGCUUUCAAUGAGUUGCAAGGAUCUAUUCCUGAGUCACUCGGAAAAAUGAUAAGUUUGGAAUCAGCGGAUCUAUCCAAUAACAUUCUUUCAGGUAUGAUUCCAAAAUCAUUAGAGGCACUUCGGUAUCUGAAGAAUUUCAAUGUAUCAUUCAAUAGAUUAGAAGGUGAAAUCCCAAAUAAAGGACCCUUUCUCAACUUCACCUCUCAAUCUUUUAUGGGAAAUGAAGAGUUAUGUGGUGGUUUCCUUUUUCAACCUUGUAAGACUAGGACUUUUCAUCAGUCAAGGAGAAGCAAAGUGCUUUUGAUUGUACUUGUCACAUUGGCAAUUUCGUUGAUGGGAAUUGGCUCAAUCGUUGUGUUCAUGUUAAAGAGAUGCGGAAAAAGAAAGGUUUCAACUCCACCCGAAUCCUUACCUGCAACAACGAUACUAGCCAGGAUUUCAUACAUUGAAAUCGAAAGGGCAACUCAGAGGUUCGACCAAUGCAACUUGCUAGGCCAUGGAGGUUUCGGUUCUGUUUACAAGGGCAUCUUUGCAAAUGGGAUGGUUUUGGCAAUCAAAGUGUUUAAUUUACAGAUUGAAGGUGCAUUCAAGAGUUUUGAUACUGAAUGUGAAAUUUUACGCAACCUUCGCCAUAGAAAUCUUACCAAAGUUAUCAGCAGUUGUACUAACAUGGAUUUUAAAGCAUUACUUCUAGAGUACAUGCCCAAUGGACGCCUAGAGCAAUGGUUACAUUCUGAUGAUUACUACUUGAAUAUGAUCCAAAGAUUAGACAUAAUGAUCGAUGUUGCAUCAGCUUUGGAAUAUCUCCAUCAUGGUUAUGCAACAGUCGUUGUACAUGGCGACUUGAAGCCUAGUAACGUCUUACUAGACGAAAGGCUGGUUGGACAUGUGAGUGACUUUGGCCUCACCAAGUUAUUAGGAGAAGGGGAAUCUAUUGCUCAUACUAACACACUUGCAACGAUGGGCUAUAUUGCACCAGGUAACUUUCUUUUUUGGUCUUUUAUUAUCGAAUAUAAAGUGCUAAUGUAUCAAAUAGUACGUAAUCUUUCGUUUUCUAGUUUUAUGUAAUAUAUCACAGAUUCAUGAAAAAAUGGUAUUGAAACAUCGAAAUAUAGAGCCCAUUUGGCUUAGCUAAAAUAGGAAUGUAGCUUUUAAGCACCAAGUGCGGAAAAUAUUUUUUAAGUGCUGAAACUGAUUUUAUGAACAAGAAAUUAUGCGGUUAGAUAGAAGUGCUGAGACUGAAAUAAACAGUUGAUGUGUUUGUUAAAAAAGUGCUAAUCAACAUUUUUUUCUAUUAAAAUGACCAAAAUGCCAUUAAGAUGUUAAUAUCAAACAAUAGAUUAUUGCAAGACUUUUCAUUUCCAAUACAAAUUAUUAUAUCUUUCAAUUCAUGUUUAAGUUAUAAAUUGAAUAGAAAAUUAUUAUCUCAAACGAAUAUAAGUUAUUUAUUGAAAUAACAUAGUACUAAUUAAUAUAUGCCCAACUUAUCGCUUUUGACUUUUUUUGGGCUAAAGUACAAGACUUUUAGACAGUUUUUUUUGGCUUGCCAAACAUCUUAUUUGCUAGUUUUAAUGUAACAUAUCACAGAUUUUGCACGAAACAAGGGGUAUUGAGAGCGUGGAAAUAUGACAAUUUCAAACUCUAUAUUCAUGCAUCUACGACAAUUAAGAAAAACUUGCAGUUUUUCGUUUCAUUUGAUUGUCUUACUCUUGGUUCAUUCCCAUUCCACCUAUUUUUAUUUUUUUAAAAUUUUUUAUCUACUCAAGAUAGUUUUAAAUUUUUUUAAUAUCUUCCAAAUACAAAGAUAUUACUUUCGUUUAUUUAUUUAGUUUGUUAAGAAACUAAUUACUCUAGUAACAUUGGAUCAGAGUAUGGAUCAGUAGGAUUAGUUUCUAGAAGAUGUGAUGUGUACAGCUACGGCAUAAUGCUCAUGGAAACAUUCACAAGAAAAAAGCCAUAUGAUGAAAUGUUUCAAGAAAAUUUGAGCAUGAGGAGUUGGGUCUGUAAUUCAAUACCUGCAACACCAGAAGAUAUUAUUGAUGCCACUUUAUUGGAUCCAGAAGAGAUUGAUUUC
rnacentral:lncRNA from 1 species